AGGGACCCCACCCGCCGUGGGCUGUGGGGUUCCCGGUGCUGCGCAGGCUGGAAGCGAAGCCGGCGGGUCAGGUUCCCGGGAGCAGAUGUGCGUUUGUUCUCUGGGAAAGAUUCAAUGAUGUAAAAGAAAGUGCCUGUCUCCAAGGAGUAUGAACAUGAAGUCUAACUGGGCCGGUGAAAGUGCAGAAAAGAACUCUGGAUGCUGGAUCUCAUCCACACAACUGGACAGAGGAGCAACUUGACUUACACCUGACAUUUUGUGUCCUCCCCAUGUGCUGGAGAGAAAAAAUUCAAUGGAGGAGAAGAAGGACACAGGAGCAGGGAGAGCUGCAGAAAUGGAGGCACAGAGAGGUAAAUGAAAUUGACUAAGGUCACAUGACUGGAACCUGGGGCAGAAGGACAUAAGCCAGUGUAUCUGCCUGUUGAGCCUACAGUUAAAAAUAAUUAUAGAGAACACGGUGAUGUUUCAUAAACUGUCAGGUGGUACAUUUUCAAAUCAUAUUUUUUUUACAUUAUUCACUUCUAGUCUGGAGGAAAUACCUAUGGGUAAAAUGGAGAGAAGAGUGAGAAAAGAAAAGCCAAACCUUGUUCACUCGUUUCUUCCAUGGAACUGAAACAUACCUGACCAUUAUUAUAUGAAAGUAGAUGCAGAUGAAAUUUCGAUAUAUAUAGAUUAACCAAAACUCUUUAUUGGCGAUACUUACACUUCUCCAGAAGGUGUUUGGUGUGUACAGUGAGAUUAAUAAACCCGUUUAGUCUUUAGUGUGGCCAUAAAAUAAGAGACAGCAG